rfam:Rhodonellum psychrophilum GCM71 = DSM 17998 strain GCM71 EFN26G28, whole genome shotgun sequence.
AAUACACUUUUAAUGUAUGGGUCCUGGGUUCGAAUCCCAGCGGGAUCA